rnacentral:rRNA from 1 species
GACGAACGCUGGCGGCGUGCUUAACACAUGCAAGUCGAACGGUAAGGCCCUGCCUUUGUGGGGUGCUCGAGUGGCGAACGGGUGAGUAACACGUGAGUAACCUGCCCUUGACUUUGGGAUAACUUCAGGAAACUGGGGCUAAUACCGGAUAGGAGCUCCUGCUGCAUGGUGGGGGUUGGAAAGUUUCGGCGGUUGGGGAUGGACUCGCGGCUUAUCAGCUUGUUGGUGGGGUAGUGGCUUACCCAGGCUUUGACGGGUAGCCGGCCUGAGAGGGUGACCGGCCACAUUGGGACUGAGAUACGGCACAGACUCCUACGGGAGGCAGCAGUGGGGAAUAUUGCACAAUGGGCGGAAGCCUGAUGCAGCAACGCCGCGUGCGGGAUGACGGCCUUCGGGUUGUAAACCGCUUUCGCCUGUGACGAAGCGUGAGUGACGGUAAUGGGUAAAGAAGCACCGGCUAACUACGUG